rnacentral:rRNA from 1 species
AUUGAACGCUGGCGGCAGGCCUAACACAUGCAAGUCGAACGGUAACAGGAAGAAGCUUGCUUCUUUGCUGACGAGUGGCGGACGGGUGAGUAAUGUCUGUGAAACUGCCUGAUGGAGGGGGAUAACUACUGGAAACGGUAGCUAAUACCGCAUAACGUCGCAAGACCAAAGAGGGGGACCUUCGGGCCUCUUGCCAGCGGAUGUGCCCAGAUGGGAUUAGCUAGUAGGUGGGGUAACGGCUCACCUAGGCGACGAUCCCUAGCUGGUCUGAGAGGAUGACCAGCCACACUGGAACUGAGACACGGUCCAGACUCCUACGGGAGGCAGCAGUGGGGAAUAUUGCACAAUGGGCGCAAGCCUGAUGCAGCCAUGCCGCGUGUAUGAAGAAGGCCUUCGGGUUGUAAAGUACUUUCAGCGGGGAGGAAGGGAGUAAAGUUAAUACCUUGGCUCAUUGACGUUACCCGCAGAAGAAGCACCGGCUAACUCCGUG